AAAGAAAAUUUUCUGAAAGGAAACAUCACAAAUAUGUCACUAAAGAGUUUAAGAUGUCAAGUGUUGAUCAAAAGUUGCCAUAGACACCCGUAAAGGCCAUAUGAAAGCUCGAUAAUUGUGGCAUCCAAAAGUCAUGGCUAGAAGCAAAAGAAAAUUAUGAAAAUUUACCAGAAAAUAGCUUCAACCAUCCUUAUGAAGCAUGCAAAAAAUCAGACUCAAAUUCGAAGUAUUUUUUUUUUUACAUUAAAAAUACUCACGGAACACAAUCAAUGUCUACUGCUGAAAGUCUGAAAAAAAGCCAUUUGUCUAUAUAAGGGGUAGGCACUCUUCAGUGCCUAACCCCCCAAGGUUGGACGUCCGUAUGGGUGUGGGCAAUGUCCGAGUGCCUAGUGCACGACGACUGUCCGUACGUACGUCCGACCUCCGGGCUGUCUCCGGUGACUUUUCCGGCGACUUUCCGGCGACCGCCAAAAUGACCGUUUUGCCCCUGAUUUUUUUUUCGCGCUUGUGCGGUCUUGGCCUGGUUUCGUUUGUCUUCCUGUUGCUCUACUGAUUUUCAUCAGACGAGUGGCAGGAAAGAUCGACGUUAGCGGGGCAAAUGAACGUUCGGCGUAUGAGUGGUGAUUGGAUAGCCAGUGUUUGUAGGCUCCGUGCUUGCGCACCCAACUACAGACCAACUAUCCUUCUCAGUUUCUUCACAAGCAUAGAUAUGCUUGCUGACUUGAUCCUGGGCYUGUGYUGCGUACCUAUCCAGAAGGAAUUGUUGAGCCUNGCUCGAUAUUUUGUUUGCGGCAUCUCCUUCACCGGAGAGGUCGUGAACACAAAAGCCGGCACUUGUGAUCCUUUCGGCUAUUGCAUAAACUAUGCAUUGCUCGCAAAGGUGAACAAGCUGUCAGCUGAAAUCUCGGUUGCGGAAAUCUUAUGGACGGUGACUCGAAGUAAUUCGGUCCCGCCAAGCAUAAUUGUCUCCGGACAAAAGAUGACGGCCAAGACCUUUUGUGUUCCUGCUUUCCUAGCGUUUGCGRRAAUCCUACWUUCCUAGCGUUUGCGGGAAUCUUGCUUUCCUAGCGUUUGCGGGAAUACGAUUCGGUCUUGCCGUGAUUUAUGAAUGC
rnacentral:misc_RNA from 1 species